CAAUAGCGUAUAUUAAUGUUGUUGCAGUUAAAAAGCUCGUAGUCGGAUUUCGGGCCGGAGGGGUUGGGCCGGGUCUCUCACGAGAUCUGUUAUUUGCCUGUGUCCUUCGGUCUUAUUCGGGGUUUAUUACUUGGCGUGCCUGGCAUUGAGUUGUCGGGUGCGUUGAGCCCGUCGUUUACUGUGAACAAAUUAGAGUGUUUCAAGCAGGGUUAUUACUUACUUGAAUAUUUUAGCAUGGAAUAAUGAGAUAGGACUUUGGUGGUUCUUCGUUUGCAAAAAUGGAGAUAUUUUGUUGGUUUGCACGCCAAAGUAAUGGUUAAUAGGAGCAGUUGGGGGUAUCCGUAUUCAAUUGUCAGAGGUGAAAUUCUUGGAUUUCUAGAAGACGAACUACUGCGAAANCANNNACCAAGGAUGUUUUCAUNAA
rnacentral:rRNA from 1 species